AUACAAAAAUCUUGACUCCCUCUAUCCUAGAAAACAUUAUAGCAAAUGGGCCUCUUAUACCCCAACUCCACCAUUGAAUGAACCACCCACCACCAAGUUGCAUGAUGCGCCUCAUUUAAAAGGGCAUGUGUGACGUUCAUGCCAAUCUUGGUGAACCCAUUAAUCAAUGGAAUGAAAGCACAUUUGACCUUCACCAUAAAUAAAAC
rnacentral:lncRNA from 1 species